UUUUUAGUUCAUUUUUAAAAACAGCUUUUUUUUAAAGUAAUGAACAGGCUUUGUGUUAAAAUAAGUGAUUCUGUUUUUCUCUCCAAUUUUUAGGUAUUGAACGUGGUGUAGAUUGAAGGAGCAAAAGAUCUCUUCUUCCUUUCGUAGUUGACCUGUGAACAACACUGGUUUGAACUGCACUGGUUCACUUAUACGUGGAUUUUUUUUGAUGAAUACAAUACUAACUCAUCUUAUAUUUGAAGAUGCUGGUGUGGAAGAUUAUAGUGAGGUUCACCUUCAAAUUUUAAGAUUUGAAGAAACAUGGAACACAAGCUAAAACAAAUGUAAUGGAUAUGCUGACCAGGAAGACCGCUUUCUUUGGGAAGCUGGAGAAGCAGUCCCUGACAGCUCCAAGGCUACUUGUAGCCAAACUAUUCCGAGAUCAUAAAGGAAAAAAACUCCUCUCUCCCAGAAUCGGUUUCUUCUAAGGUCCAGAAGGCCCUUUUGAUUAACCAAGCUUGGCUUGUGUGCUGACUCCUGUGGCCAGAGAAGUGGAGUCUUUAACCAGAGAAGGGAUGUCACACAGGUAUGGCCACCAGAGAAUUGUUGGGAGGCAGUCAAGUGCCCAGUGUGACCGGUGCAGAUUUGAAGAGCUAGGGGGCCACAGUAUAUGAUGUGGGAUUUAUUCAUGGGUUUUCAUUUUAGCUAUUUCAAAUGAAAUAAACUUCAGUUAGUUUUGUGAAUCUCAGUGUUGCGUGGGGCUUAGUAGGAGAUACAGUACCACAUACGGCUCAGUGCCUGCAUUCAGGGAGCUUAGAAUGUAAUGAUAGAGAUAAAGAGGCACCUGAAGUCCCAGCUGUAAACAAUACAAGGGUUUUAGGGAAAGAGCUGAAAUCCUAAAGCAGAUGAAUAUGGAACUUGAAGGGUUACAUUGAUAAUAGUUUUUGCCAGGCAUUUUGCCCCAAAUCACAUUCCUAAGCCAAAUACAAUUGGUAUUUGUGUUUUAAGAUCAAAUGAUCUUAAUGAUCAAAACGUCAUAGAUAAAAGAGAAAAUUGAUACUUUUUCUCGAACUUUUAGCCUUUAUCUUUUUUUCGUGGGUGUUGUCUGUGUUGGUAUAUACACAGACAGCCUUUUCCUUUGGAAAGUUACAUUAUUGUGCUGAAAUAUAUUUUGCUUUUAGCAAUAAAUAUGACAGUAUGGUUCUUUGGUCUUCUAUUUUCUAGACAUAGCUUGUAUAACAGAAAACAAUUAUUUUCUCCUUCGAAUCAAGGAAUCGGUAGCUCACUCAGAAAUUCAUCUGGACGGAAUUUUGCAUAUUAAGUUAUAUUCUGUUGGCAGUUAGAUUGUUGGAAAAGUGUGAAAAGUUUCAGUCAGUCUAUGUUUUGCUUCGUCAUACAAAUUAACUUCUUGGUUUUAUAAUCUGAAGCACAUGCAUAUUAAGUAGAGGAAACUAAUUGCAGUAAAUCCUGGCAAUAAUCCGGAUGUUUCAAUAAUAUCACAUUGUUAAUUCUGAGUUUACUUGUAACCCUGUUGCAUAAGGGUCUUAUUUUUCAAUUGUUUUAGUCUUGUUGGCCUCGGCUUCUCUGAUGAUUAAAUUGAAUCGAUUAGAUUUUGUUUAAUUAGAUUUUAUACUUUGACGUCACGUCAUGGCUUUUGAAAGCAUUUUGCACCCUCUUCAUCGUGGGCAAUACCUACAGAUUUAGCUAGUGGUUCAUAUAUACUCUGUUUCUUUCUUUCGUGGAAUUUUUAUUGCAAUAGGCAAUAACCGAUUUACAUACUUCGGGGAUGCUAGAGGAUCACUCCUUGCUUUUAAACGUAGGAUAUAUCCAUCCCAAUAAUAUUUUUAGUGACUGCCAAAAUGACUGUUUGCUCCAGCAUUUAUGCCCCUUUUUCACUGUAGGGUAAAUGGCCCUUCAAACUAAAUGGGGAUGUUUAAUAUUCCAGGGAUUUAACCCACGAUCUUUGAUGAAUGCCAGUGCUGUUUUAAAAAGAAUUGCUGUCUUGGUGUAAAUAAAAUCAAAAUCCUGGCAUUACAAUCUAAUUGAGAAAUCUGUUUGGAACGUCGGGUCACUAGAGAUCAUAUGUGACCUCCCGGAGCAAAAGAAAACGCAAACGAUGAUGGCAAGGGGGUAUAGGAUGUUGAGGAAACACACAGCAGUAGCGCCCAGCCCAGUCUCCACAGAUCAAGACAGUGGCCACUUCAACUGAGAAUCAGAAGACUCCUAGUAGCGAUACUUAGCCUUAGGGGAAAAAAAUUCUGGUCAGAGGAGAUAGUACGCAGGAAAGCCCAGAGGUGAAAGAGAGGUUGGCAGUUUGGGAGCAACUAAAAGAUUUAUUUUUUAUUUUUUAUUUUUUUAAGAUUUUAUUUAUUUAUUUGAGAGAGAGAGAAUGAGAGAUAGAGAGCACGAGAGGGAAGAGGGUCAGAGGGAGAAGCAGACUCCCCGCCGAGCAGGGAGCCCGAUGCGGGACUCGAUCCCAAGGACUCCAGGAUCAUGAUCUGAGCCGAAGGCAGUCGCUUAACCAACUGAGCCACCCAGGCGCCCAAGAUAAAUUCCCUUUAGCUGCAGCAGAGAGAGGG
rnacentral:lncRNA from 1 species